rnacentral:rRNA from 1 species
UAAAAGGCGGCGUAAGCUGUCGCUAUGGGAUGGCCCCGCGGUGCAUUAGCUAGUUGGUAGGGUAACGGCCUACCAAGGCAAUGAUGCAUAGCCGAGUUGAGAGACUGAUCGGCCACAUUGGGACUGAGACACGGCCCAAACUCCUACGGGAGGCAGCAGUAGGGAAUCUUCCACAAUGGACGAAAGUCUGAUGGAGCAACGCCGCGUGAGUGAAGAAGGUUUUCGGAUCGUAAAGCUCUGUUGUUGGUGAAGAAGGAUAGAGGUAGUAACUGGCCUUUAUUUGACGGUAAUCAACCAGAAAGUCACGGCUAACUACGUGCCAGCAGCCGCGGUAAUACGUAGGUGGCAAGCGUUGUCCGGAUUUAUUGGGCGUAAAGCGAGCGCAGGCGGAAGAAUAAGUCUGAUGUGAAAGCCCUCGGCUUAACCGAGGAACUGCAUCGGAAACUGUUUUUCUUGAGUGCAGAAGAGGAGAGUGGAACUCCAUGUGUAGCGGUGGAAUGCGUAGAUAUAUGGAAGAACACCAGUGGCGAAGGCGGCUCUCUGGUCUGCAACUGACGCUGAGGCUCGAAAGCAUGGGUAGCGAACAGGAUUAGAUACCCUGGUAGUCCAUGCCGUAAACGAUGAGUGCUAAGUGUUGGGAGGUUUCCGCCUCUCAGUGCUGCAGCUAACGCAUUAAGCACUCCGCCUGGGGAGUACGACCGCAAGGUUGAAACUCAAAGGAAUUGACGGGGGCCCGCACAAGCGGUGGAGCAUGUGGUUUAAUUCGAAGCAACGCGAAGAACCUUACCAGGUCUUGACAUCUAGUGCAAUCCGUAGAGAUACGGAGUUCCCUUCGGGGACACUAAGACAGGUGGUGCAUGGCUGUCGUCAGCUCGUGUCGUGAGAUGUUGGGUUAAGUCCCGCAACGAGCGCAACCCUUGUCAUUAGUUGCCAGCAUUAAGUUGGGCACUCUAAUGAGACUGCCGGUGACAAACCGGAGGAAGGUGGGGAUGACGUCAAGUCAUCAUGCCCCUUAUGACCUGGGCUACACACGUGCUACAAUGGACAGU